rnacentral:rRNA from 1 species
AGCACGAGGAAUUCUGCGUGAAUCAGCCGGGACCAUCCGGUAAGGCUAAAUACUCCCGAGAGACCGAUAGCGAACCAGUACUGUGAAGGAAAGGUGAAAAGCACUUCGAAUAGAAGAGUGAAAUAGUCCCUGAAACCAUGCGCCUACAAGCGGUCGGAGCAGCUUAAGUUGUGACGGCGUGCCUUUUGCAUAAUGAACCUACGAGUUACUUUUUCCGGCAAGGUUAAGCAUCUUGAGAUGUGGAUCCGAAGCGAAAGCGAGUCUGAACAGGGCGGAUAGUCGGAAGGAGUAGACGCGAAACCAAGUGAUCUACCCUUGGGCAGGUUGAAGGUUAGGUAACACUAACUGGAGGACCGAACCGAUAAGCGUUGAAAAGCUUCCGGAUGACCUGAGGGUGGGGGUGAAAGGCUAAUCAAACUUGGAGAUAGCUCGUACUCCCCGAAAUGCAUUUAGGUGCAGCCUUGAGAGUUACUAAUGUGAGGUAGAGCGACUGAUAAGAUGCGAGGGCUUCACCGCCUAUCAAGUCUUGAUAAACUCCGAAUGCGCAUUAGUUCUAUCUCAGGAGUGAGGGCAUGGGUGCUAAGGUCCAUGUCCUAAAGGAGAAGAAUCCAGACCAUCAGCUAAGGUCCCCAAAUAAACACUAAGUUGAACUAACGAAGUCAGAUUGCUAAGACAGCUAGGAUGUUGGCUUGGAAGCAGCCAUUCAUUUAAAGAGUGCGUAACAGCUCACUAGUCGAGGAGUUUGGCGUGGAUAAUAAUCGGGCAUAAGUGUUUUACCGAAGCUAUGGGAUCCUAAUGGAUCGGUAGGGGAGCAUUCCACUCAGCGUUGAAGGCGAAGCGUGAGCUUUACUGGAGCGUGUGGAAAAGCAAAUGUAGGUAUAAGUAACGAUAAAGGGGGUGAGAAACCCCCUCGCCGCAAGACUAAGGUUUCCUGAUCAACGCUAAUCGGAUCAGGGUUAGUCGGGUCCUAAGGCUCAGCCGAACGGUGAGGCCGAUGGCAGAACAGGUUAAUAUUCCUGUACUACCUAUAGGAGUGAUGUGGAGACGGAGGAGUGACAACGCCGCGGACUGACGGAAUAGUCCGUUAAAGGGUGUAGAUGUUGAUUAUCCCAGGCAAAUCCGGGAUAAGAGUCGAACCUGACAGUAUACCAAUUUCCUCGGAAAACGGUAAUAGUGCGUGUAAACAUACUCCCAAGAAAAUCCGCUAAACUUAAUCUUAUAGGUACCCGUACCGUAAACGGACACACGUAGUCGGGUUGAAUAUACUCAGGCGCUUGAGUGAAUCACGGUUAAGGAACUAGGCAAAUUGACCCUGUAACUUCGGGAUAAAGGGUCCCUACCCGGUGACGGGAGGGCGCAGAGAAUAGGUCCAGGCAACUGUUUAACAAAAACACAGGGCUGUGCAAAAUUGAAAGAUCACGUAUACAGCCUGACACCUGCCCGGUGCUGGAAGGUUAAGAGGAGAUGUCAUCGCAAGAGAAGCAUUGAAUUGAAGCCCCAGUAAACGGCGGCCGUAACUAUAACGGUCCUAAGGUAGCGAAAUUCCUUGUCGGGUAAGUUCCGACCUGCACGAAUGGUGUAAUGAUCUGGACACUGUCUCAACCGUGAGCUCAGUGAAAUUGUAGUAUCGGUGAAGAUGCCGAUUACCCGCGAUGGGACGAAAAGACCCCGUGAACCUUUACUAUAGCUUAACAUUGAAUUUGGGUAAUUGAUGUGUAGGAUAGGCCGGAGACUUUGAAGCAGGCACGCCAGUGUUUGUGGAGUCGCUGUUGAAAUACGGCCCUUUGGUUAUUUGAGUUCUAACUCGCUGGUGCGAGGACACUGUUUGGUGGGUAGUUUGACUGGGGUGGUCGCCUCCAAAAGCGUAACGGAGGCUUCUAAAGGUGCCCUCACGCCGAUUGGUAACCGGCGGUAGAGUGUAAUGGCAUAAGGGCGCUUGACUGGGAGACUUACAAGUCGAUCAGGUAGGAAACUAGAGCAUAGUGAUCCGGUGUUUCCGUAUGGAAGGGACAUCGCUCAAAGGAUAAAAGGUACUCCGGGGAUAACAGGCUGAUCCCUCCCAAGAGCUCAUAUCGA